UUGAACGCUGGCGGCAUGCCUUACACAUGCAAGUCGAACGGUAACAGGUCUUCGGAUGCUGACGAGUGGCGAACGGGUGAGUAAUACAUCGGAACGUGCCCGAUCGUGGGGGAUAACGCAGCGAAAGCUGUGCUAAUACCGCAUACGAUCUACGGAUGAAAGCAGGGGACCGCAAGGCCUUGCGCGGACGGAGCGGCCGAUGGCAGAUUAGGUAGUUGGUGGGGUAAAGGCUCACCAAGGCGACGAUCAGUAGCGGGUCUGAGAGGAUGAUCCGUCACACUGGAACUGAGACACGGUCCAGACUCCUACGGGAGGCAGCAGUGGGGAAUUUUGGACAAUGGGGGCAACCCUGAUCCAGCCAUUCCGCGUGAGUGAAGAAGGCCUUCGGGUUGUAAAGCUCUUUCAGCCGGAACGAAACGGUACGCUCUAACAUAGCGUGCUAAUGACGGUACCGGCAGAAGAAGCACCGGCUAACUACGU
rnacentral:rRNA from 1 species